UCCGGUCACACAAUGCUUGCUUCCAUCCUUUGUAUAAUUUUUAUAUCAACCCUUGGUGUAUAUUUUUUGCCCUUCUUGCUAUGACUAAUUUCCACUUGGGAUCAACAAAGUACUGUUUUUUUCAGGUCCCGAUGGAAGAGCAGAUGGCUGUGCAGUUGCCAUGGUGGAGAGACCCAGAGUAUGAUGACCGAACAGUUGAUCUACAACGAUGGCCUACUCCCCAUCCACCCUGAGGAUCCCUGGCUACACCUACAAUCCAAUCUACACCAGACAUAACCACUCGGAGCUCAACAACUCCUACAACUCCUCCUGCCUCCUACACACCAUACUGUUACCACUUUACCAUUUUAACUUUAUAACAAAGUACUGUAAUUCACACCAUGUUGUAGGAAAAGCAUGUUUAGCUCAAUGAUUUAUACAUUCUAUUUCUGUGGCCCCAACUAUUGUAUUUCUAACCCAGUUACCUCUGAACCCUCUUUCUAAGGGAGCGACUAAAGGGACAAAGCUGGAGCUAACCUGAGCUUAACAAUCUUUCUAAUCUUUCUUUCAAAUGUCCCAAAUUGAAUCACAUAAAAUGCCUAAAGUAACUUGUCUAACAAAACAAAAAGCCAACCUAAUACCCAAACUUAACCAUCUAACUAAAGAUCUCAAAUGCCUAAACUCUCUUACCCUAAACGAGACAUAAACUGAACCAUUUAACUAAACAUCUCAAAGGCCUAAACUCGCUUACCUCAACCUAACCUAAUACCCAAACUUAACCAUCUAACUGAAGAGCUCAAACGCCUAAACUCUUACCCUAACCUAGUACCUAAACUUGACCAUCUAACUAAACAUCUCUAUUACCUAAACUCUUUCCUAAUACCUAAACAAUCUUUAAUACAAUCACUAAUGCCUAAACUUAACCAAACACCAAUAAUAAAAGUUAACCAUCCUUAAUCUUAAACCCAAACCAGACUUGUCCCUGGGUCGCUCCACUUUGUGUCUUUGAAGGCAUCGCUUUUCCCCCACAUCUGUGUUUUAUUCCUUGAGGACUUCAAGUACUUCAGAUGAUAUUUGAAAACUUGUUUCAAUAAUAAAAAUACUUAAUCUUUACAGAUUUUGUUUUGGGGAAUUGAGCAGCUUAAGCAUCCUUACUGGUGAAUCUGAUCUGAUGAAGCCAAUAACAUAAGGCCGAAAAUGUGAAAAGACGAGGUAGACAAUGAUCGAGGAGUCAACAAGGAGUUGAUUGGUAACUAUCUAACAUGGAACCAGAUGCCUAUUUAUUUGAUCUGUUACCAUGCUAUCGCAGUAGGGGAAUCUGAAGGAGUAUCAUACAGUGUUGCAUGGGUUCUUGCUAGAUUGCAUUACGGCUGAGGCCAUUGAUUAAGAUUGUUGAUUUGAAGAAUAUGAAUAAAGAGUACUUGAAGUGGA